rnacentral:rRNA from 1 species
GAUGAACGCUGGCGGCGUGCCUAAUACAUGCAAGUCGAGCGAACGGACGAGAAGCUUGCUUUUCUGAUGUUAGCGGCGGACGGGUGAGUAACACGUGGAUAACCUACCUAUAAGACUGGGAUAACUUCGGGAAACCGGAGCUAAUACCGGAUAAUAUUUUGAACCGCAUGGUUCAAAAGUGAAAGACGGUCUUGCUGUCACUUAUAGAUGGAUCCGCGCUGCAUUAGCUAGUUGGUAAGGUAACGGCUUACCAAGGCAACGAUGCAUAGCCGACCUGAGAGGGUGACCGGCACACCUGGACUUGAGCACCGGUCAAGCUCCCACCGGGAGGAAGCGUUAGGAAACCUUCGGAAUGGGCGGAAGGCUUGACGGAGCACCGCGGGGUGGGGGAUGAAGGCUUCCGGUUGGUAAACCCUUGUAAUAAGGGAAGACAAUAUGUGUAAGUACCUGGGACGACCUGAAGGGAACCUAACAAGAAGACAACGCUAACUUCCGG